AAUAUUCAAAUGAGAACUUUGAAGACUGAAGUGGAGAAAGGUUUGACGUGAACAGCAGUUGGACGUCAGUGAGCCGCUCCUAAGAGAUAGGGAAAUUCCGUUCGGAAGCUUGGCGAUCUUUGACCGCCUCGACUAUCGAAAGGGAACACGGUUAAUAUUCCGUGGCCGGGAAGUGGAUAUGCGGCAACGCAAGCGAGUUCGGACACGCCGGAGGGAGCCCCAGGAAGAGUUCUCUUUUCUUGUUAACAGCCUAUUACCCUGGAAUCGGUUUACCCGGAGAUAGGGUUAAAUGGCUGGGAAAGCACAUGGAUUUUCCGCGUGUCUGGUGCGCUCUCGACGGCCCUUGAAACUCCGAGCGAGGUACUAAUUUUUUUUUAGUUUAUUUGCACCCCCGGGCGUACUCAUAACCGCAUCAGGCCUCCAAGGUUUGAAGCCUCUAGUC
rnacentral:rRNA from 13 species